UCCUUCUCUAGUGAAACUCAUCACUCGCACACUUAAAACAUGGUCGCCGCUUUGAGACGGAAGAGUAGAAGAUCUUCCAGAAGCAGAAGAGCUUCAAAUCGAGUUACCGGAAGAUAUCUUCUAGAAUCAGAAGAGUGCAAAUCGAACGGGGCUCUGGCCGGGGAAUCAGGGGAGACAACUUGUUCGUGUAGUGUUGACUCUAUAGCCAUCAUUAGAUCUACUAUAUACAUAGAAUAUUACGGUAAUGGAUUGAACCCAAAUACGUCCAGAUGUGGUAGUGAAGUGCACGUGGUAGCUAUCGAUGAUAGAGUUGAACACAGAAAAGGACACUAUCAAUGCAACACGUCUCCGGUGGUACCCAUUUAUAUAAAAUAUGUCCGGUUGUGGAAGUGAAGUGGUAGCCGUCGAGAAUAGAGGUAGAGAAGGACACUAGGCCUAUCAAUGUAAUACGUCCCCGGUGGCACCCGUAUAUGCGAGACCAGUGACUAUAACAUGGAAUGGGAUACUUGGUGGGGAUUCAAAGUACUGUCUCAAUGUUACAGAAUCUGUCUGCGUUUUCGCAGGUCCUCGCUUGCGGCGUUCUGCCUUUUUGUAUUGACUGUAACCCUCGCCGUUGCAUUGUGAGAAUAAUUUUCAGAAAAAACUUGGUCCGGCAGCCACAGUUAUUAUUUUUGGAAAUUCCCCGUAUACUUCCAUAAAUACACAUUUUCUUUCAGUUUCUGAUUCACGAUAACCUGUUGGGUAUGUAUCAAGUUCUAAAACUGUAAAAAGCUCAAAAUAUAAACAUUGAGAUAUAUGUUUCUUCGUGAGUAUGUGGCUUUAAGGCAUUUCAACCAGUUACUAAGUUAAGUUUGAUGGAAAUCUCUCAGACUAGUUAAAGCCACAUACUCCCAAACAACCUAAAAUUUUAGCUGCACACAUGUAUUAAUGGCAAUCCAAGAUGCUCAUUCACGCUCUCUUAACAUUAAAAUGACCACUGGCAUGGACGCUUGACCGAGGGAGUCAUUGAGACAUCAGAUUUCAGAUUUUCAGAUUUUAUUUUUAGUCACCCAGACACAUUGAUAUGUGUAACAUGGAUUACAUCAUGAAACAACACAUGGCAAGAUGGACAGUAGAACAGUGUAGAUUAUUUAGAAUUAAUUUUAGACCAUAAUUAUAGAAUAUGCAUGUGUAUUAUAUAUCUAAAGAUAUAAAUCCAUCGCAUGGACCUAGGCCUAAAUUCUAUAAUUUUAAAGCUUCAACGUUGUAUAUUGUGACGUCCGCAUUCGGAAUAUAUAAUAUCCAAUAGAAAAUCAGCCGGAAAGUGUAAUAUGAUAUGACUUGAGUUUAGGCCUGGAUGCAUUGUUGGUCCUGUCCUGAGGCAAGUGCCUGUGAUCUGCUUUAUCUUAAUCAUCACCAAUAAUCAUAAAUGGAUAAGUCGAUACAUCAACUUACCACAAGAUGUGAAAAAUGCGACGAAGAUUUGCACGAAAGGGGCCAAAAUACAUGAGUGUAUGAUAGCUCAGGAAGACAAGUGGAGUAUUCCGAUAUCGGGG